AUCAAGAAUGCUCACCUGAUGCUAGUCUGCAAUCAGGCCCGCAACUCUCUCUCUGCAGUACUUAAGCCCAGCUCAGUCCUCCACUCAUUGCCAGAUUGUUACCAAGCAUGAUCUCCAAGCUACACUCUUCUACAACCAAACGCCCAGCUCCAGAACAACAGCCAGCCACUCUCCAUCCAUAACGCACCCUGGAAACCUGAACUCUACCUGCAAGUUAUCUCAUUAAAACCUUGUUUUCAAGACUUCA